UUAUUAAAAUUGUAGUUUUUAGAGAUUCACCUAGGGUGAGACUCAACCAUUGCACUCUGGUUAUGCUGACACCCACGAAUUCCCUAAAUGUGGGAGUCUCGACUGCAUAAUAUCUGAUUGUGAAGGGCUGCGUUUGCCCUCUCCCUUA
rnacentral:snRNA from 1 species